rnacentral:rRNA from 1 species
AGAGUUUGAUCCUGGCUCAGGACGAACGCUGGCGGCACGCUUAACACAUGCAAGUCGAACGAGAGAAGAGGAGCUUGCUUUUCUGAUCUAGUGGCGGACGGGUGAGUAACACGUGAGCAAUCUGCCUUUCAGAGGGGGAUACCGAUUGGAAACGAUCGUUAAUACCGCAUAAUAUAAUUGAACCGCAUGAUUUGAUUAUCAAAGAUUUAUCGCUGAAAGAUGAGCUCGCGUCUGAUUAGCUAGUUGGUAAGGUAACGGCUUACCAAGGCGACGAUCAGUAGCCGGACUGAGAGGUUGAUCGGCCACAUUGGGACUGAGACACGGCCCAGACUCCUACGGGAGGCAGCAGUGGGGAAUAUUGCACAAUGGAGGAAACUCUGAUGCAGCGAUGCCGCGUGAGGGAAGAAGGUUUUAGGAUUGUAAACCUCUGUCUUCAGGGACGAAAAAAGACGGUACCUGAGGAGGAAGCUCCGGCUAACUACGUGCCAGCAGCCGCGGUAAUACGUAGGGAGCGAGCGUUGUCCGGAAUUACUGGGUGUAAAGGGAGCGUAGGCGGGAUCGCAAGUCAGAUGUGAAAACUAUGGGCUUAACCCAUAAACUGCAUUUGAAACUGUGGUUCUUGAGUGAAGUAGAGGUAAGCGGAAUUCCUAGUGUAGCGGUGAAAUGCGUAGAUAUUAGGAGGAACAUCAGUGGCGAAGGCGGCUUACUGGGCUUUAACUGACGCUGAGGCUCGAAAGCGUGGGGAGCAAACAGGAUUAGAUACCCUGGUAGUCCACGCCGUAAACGAUGAUUACUAGGUGUGGGGGGACUGACCCCUUCCGUGCCGCAGCAAACGCAAUAAGUAAUCCACCUGGGGAGUACGACCGCAAGGUUGAAACUCAAAGGAAUUGACGGGGGCCCGCACAAGCAGU